rnacentral:rRNA from 1 species
UUGGAGGGCAAGUCUGGUGCCAGCAGCCGCGGUAAUUCCAGCUCCAAUAGCGUAUAUUAAAGUUGUUGCAGUUAAAAAGCUCGUAGUUGAAUUUCGGGAUCAGAUUGUCGGUCGUGCCUCGGUACGCACUGGCAUUAUUGGUUCCUACCUUCUGAAGAACCGCGAUGUCAUUAAUUUGGUGUCGUGGGGAAUCAGGACUGUUACUUUGAAAAAAUUAGAGUGUUUAAAGCAGGCUUACGCUUGAAUACAUUAGCAUGGAAUAAUGAAAUAGGACGUUUGAUUCUAUUUUGUUGGUUUCUAGGAUUGACGUAAUGAUUAAUAGGGAUAGUUGGGGGCAUUAGUAUUCAAUUGUCAGAGGUGAAAUUCUUGGAUUUAUUGAAGACUAACUACUGCGAAAGCAUUUGCCAAGGACGUUUUCAUUAAUCAAGAACGAAAGUUAGGGGAUCGAAGACGAUUAGAUACCGUCGUAGUCUUAACCAUAAACUAUGCCGACUAGGGAUCGGAUGAUGUUAAUUUUUUAAUGACUUAUUCGGCGCCUUGCGGGAAACCAAAGUGUUUGGGUUC